rnacentral:rRNA from 1 species
GGCUCACGUUGAACGCUAGCUACAGGCUUAACACAUGCAAGUCGAGGGGCAGCAUGGUCUUAGCUUGCUAAGGCCGAUGGCGACCGGCGCACGGGUGAGUAACGCGUAUCCAACCUGCCUUACACUCUUGGACAGCCUUCUGAAAGGGAGAUUAAUACAAGAUGUUAUCAUGAGUAAGCAUUUUCGCAUGAUUAAAGGUUUACCGGUGUAAGAUGGGGAUGCGUUCCAUUAGAUAGUAGGCGGGGUAACGGCCCACCUAGUCUUCGAUGGAUAGGGGUUCUGAGAGGAAGGUCCCCCACAUUGGAACUGAGACACGGUCCAAACUCCUACGGGAGGCAGCAGUGAGGAAUAUUGGUCAAUGGACGAGAGUCUGAACCAGCCAAGUAGCGUGAAGGAUGAAGGUUCUAUGGAUUGUAAACUUCUUUUAUACGGGAAUAAACGAAUCCACGUGUGGAUUUUUGCAUGUACCGUAUGAAUAAGGAUCGGCUAACUCCGUGCCAGCAGCCGCGGUAAUACGGAGGAUCCGAGCGUUAUCCGGAUUUAUUGGGUUUAAAGGGAGCGUAGAUGGGUUGUUAAGUCAGUUGUGAAAGUUUGCGGCUCAACCGUAAAAUUGCAAUUGAUACUGGCAGUCUUGAGUACAGUUGAGGUAGGCGGAAUUCGUGGUGUAGCGGUGAAAUGCUUAGAUAUCACGAAGAACUCCGAUUGCGAAGGCAGCUUACUAACCUGUAACUGACAUUGAUGCUCGAAAGUGUGGGUAUCAAACAGGAUUAGAUACCCUGGUAGUCCACACGGUAAACGAUGAAUACUCGCUGUAGGCGAUAUACAGUCUGCGGCCAAGCGAAAGCAUUAAGUAUUCCACCUGGGGAGUACGCCGGCAACGGUGAAACUCAAAGGAAUUGACGGGGGCCCGCACAAGCGGAGGAACAUGUGGUUUAAUUCGAUGAUACGCGAGGAACCUUACCCGGGCUUAAAUUGCAACCGAAUAUGGCGGAAACGCUAUAGCUAGCAAUAGCGGUUGUGAAGGUGCUGCAUGGUUGUCGUCAGCUCGUGCCGUGAGGUGUCGGCUUAAGUGCCAUAACGAGCGCAACCCUUGCCGAUAGUUACUAACAGGUUAUGCUGAGGACUCUGUCGGGACUGCCAUCGUAAGAUGUGAGGAAGGUGGGGAUGACGUCAAAUCAGCACGGCCCUUACGUCCGGGGCUACACACGUGUUACAAUGGGGGGUACAGAGGGCUGCUACCACGCAAGUGGAUGCCAAUCCCAAAAACCUCUCUCAGUUCGGAUUGAAGUCUGCAACCCGACUUCAUGAAGCUGGAUUCGCUAGUAAUCGCGCAUCAGCCACGGCGCGGUGAAUACGUUCCCGGGCCUUGUACACACCGCC